GUAGUUAGCCGGGGCUUCCUCCUAAGCUACCGUCACUUCCUUCGUCACUUAGGACAGAGGUUUACAACCCGAAAGCCUUCUUCCCUCACGCGGCGUUGCUGGGUCAGGCUUGCGCCCAUUGCCCAAUAUUCCCCACUGCUGCCUCCCGUAGGAGUCUGGACCGUGUCUCAGUUCCAAUGUGGCCGAUCACCCUCUCAGGUCGGCUACCCAUCGCUGUCUUGGUGGGCCGUUACCUCACCAACUAACUAAUGGGACGCGAGCUCACCCCAAACCGGAUUUCUCCUUUUACCUCAAGAUGAUGCCAUCUCGUGGUCUUAUGCGGUAUUAGCAGAUGUUUCCAUCUGUUAUUCCCCUGUCUGGGACAGAUUGCUCACGCGUUACUCACCCGUCCGCCGCUCGAACAUCUUCUGUAUUGCUACUUCCAAUGUCCUCGCUCGACUUGCAUGUGUUAAGCACGCCGCCAGCGUUCGUCCUGAGCCAGAAUCGAACCCUGA
rnacentral:rRNA from 1 species